GACCGCGUAGCUCACUAGUUGGCAGAGCAUUGGGCUAGUAUUCCAAAGGUCGUAGGUUCGAAUCCUACCGUGGCCA